rnacentral:rRNA from 1 species
CCUACGGGUGGCAGCAGUGAGGAAUAUUGGUCAAUGGGCGGAAGCCUGAACCAGCCAAGUAGCGUGCAGGAUGACGGCCCUACGGGUUGUAAACUGCUUUUAUACGGGAAUAACGCGCCUUACGUGUAGGGCUUUGCAUGUAACGUAUGAUUAAGGACCGGCUAAUUCCGUGCCAGCGGCCGCGGCAAUACGGAAGGUCCGGUCGUUAUCGGGGUUUAUGUGGGUUAAAGGGAACGUAGGCCGAAUGUCAUGCGUGCUGUGAAAUGUCCGGGCUCAACCCAGGUCUUGCAGCGCGAACUGGCGUGCUUGAGUCCGCGGAGGGCAGGCGGAAUUCGACGUGUAGCGGUGAAAUGCUUAGAUAUGACGAAGAACCCCGAUUGCGAAGGCAGCUUGCUGCAGCGGAACUGACGCUGAUGCUCGAAAGCGCGGGUAUCGAACAGGAUUAGAUACCCGUGUAGUC